rnacentral:rRNA from 1 species
UGAGCGCUGAAGGUUGGUACUUGUACCGACUGGAUGAGCAGCGAACGGGUGAGUAACGCGUGGGGAAUCUGCCUUUGAGCGGGGGACAACAUUUGGAAACGAAUGCUAAUACCGCAUAAAAACUUUAAACACAAGUUUUAAGUUUGAAAGAUGCAAUUGCAUCACUCAAAGAUGAUCCCGCGUUGUAUUAGCUAGUUGGUGAGGUAAAGGCUCACCAAGGCGAUGAUACAUAGCCGACCUGAGAGGGUGAUCGGCCACAUUGGGACUGAGACACGGCCCAAACUCCUACGGGAGGCAGCAGUAGGGAAUCUUCGGCAAUGGACGAAAGUCUGACCGAGCAACGCCGCGUGAGUGAAGAAGGUUUUCGGAUCGUAAAACUCUGUUGGUAGAGAAGAACGUUGGUGAGAGUGGAAAGCUCAUCAAGUGACGGUAACUACCCAGAAAGGGACGGCUAACUACGUGCCAGCAGCCGCGGUAAUACGUAGGUCCCGAGCGUUGUCCGGAUUUAUUGGGCGUAAAGCGAGCGCAGGUGGUUUAUUAAGUCUGGUGUAAAAGGCAGUGGCUCAACCAUUGUAUGCAUUGGAAACUGGUAGACUUGAGUGCAGGAGAGGAGAGUGGAAUUCCAUGUGUAGCGGUGAAAUGCGUAGAUAUAUGGAGGAACACCGGUGGCGAAAGCGGCUCUCUGGCCUGUAACUGACACUGAGGCUCGAAAGCGUGGGGAGCAAACAGGAUUAGAUACCCUGGUAGUCCACGCCGUAAACGAUGAGUGCUAGAUGUAGGGAGCUAUAAGUUCUCUGUAUCGCAGCUAACGCAAUAAGCACUCCGCCUGGGGAGUACGACCGCAAGGUUGAAACUCAAAGGAAUUGACGGGGGCCCGCACAAGCGGUGGAGCAUGUGGUUUAAUUCGAAGCAACGCGAAGAACCUUACCAGGUCUUGACAUACUCGUGCUAUUCCUAGAGAUAGGAAGUUCCUUCGGGACACGGGAUACAGGUGGUGCAUGGUUGUCGUCAGCUCGUGUCGUGAGAUGUUGGGGUUAAGUCCCGCAACGAGCGCAACCCCUAUUGUUAGUUGCCAUCAUUAAGUUGGGCACUCUAACGAGACUGCCGGUGAUAAACCGGAGGAAGGUGGGGAUGACGUCAAAUCAUCAUGCCCCUUAUGACCUGGGCUACACACGUGCUACAAUGGAUGGUACAACGAGUCGCGAGACAGUGAUGUUUAGCUAAUCUCUUAAAACCAUUCUCAGUUCGGAUUGUAGGCUGCAACUCGCCUACAUGAAGUCGGAAUCGCUAGUAAUCGCGGAUCAGCACGCCGCGGUGAAUACGUUCCCGGGCCUUGUACACACCGCCCGUCACACCACGGGAGUUGGGAGUACCCGAAGUAGGUUGCCUAACCGCAAGGAGGCG